GAAUAUGGGGGGACCAUCCUCCAAGGCUAAAUACUCCUGACUGACCGAUAGUGAACCAGUACCGUGAGGGAAAGGCGAAAAGAACCCCGGCGAGGGGAGUGAAAAAGAACCUGAAACCGUGUACGUACAAGCAGUGGGAGCCCCACCACCAAAGCAUUCUCUGGUGUUGAAGGCCCUGCAAAGCAGCAUCGCGGUGGCGGAGCGUCGUUUGCGACGCCCAACACACAAAACAAGCGGUGAGUGCUUUGGGGUGGGGUGACUGCGUACCUUUUGUAUAAUGGGUCAGCGACUUAUAUUCUGUAGCAAGGUUAACCGAAUAGGGGAGCCGGAGGGAAACCGAGUCUUAACCGGGCGUUAAGUUGCAGGGUAUAGACCCGAAACCCGGUGAUCUAGCCAUG
rnacentral:rRNA from 1 species